rnacentral:rRNA from 1 species
UAAGGAAUAUUGGACAAUGGUCGCAAGACUGAUCCAGCCAUGCCGCGUGCAGGAAGACGGCCCUAUGGGUUGUAAACUGCUUUUGUACCAGAGAAAACCUAUCUACGUGUAGAUAGCUGAUAGUAUGGUAAGAAUAAGCAUCGGCUAACUUCGUGCCAGCAGCCGCGGUAAGACGAAGGAUGCAAGCGUUAUCCGGAUUCAUUGGGUUUAAAGGGCGCGUAGGCGGGCUUGUAAGUCAGUGGUGAAAUCUCUCAGCUUAACUGAGAAACUGCCAUUGAUACUGCAGGCCUAGAGUAUAGAUGACGUUGGCGGAAUAUGACAUGUAGUGGUGAAAUACUUAGAUAUGUCAUAGAACACCGAUUGCGAAGGCAGCUAACGAAACUAUAACUGACGCUGAGGCACGAAAGUGCGGGGAUCAAACA